rnacentral:rRNA from 1 species
UGGGGAAUUUUGGACAAUGGGCGCAAGCCUGAUCCAGCCAUGCCGCGUGCGGGAAGAAGGCCUUCGGGUUGUAAACCGCUUUUGUCAGGGAAGAAACGCUCUGGGCUAAUACCCUGGGGUAAUGACGGUACCUGAAGAAUAAGCACCGGCUAACUACGUGCCAGCAGCCGCGGUAAUACGUAGGGUGCAAGCGUUAAUCGGAAUUACUGGGCGUAAAGCGUGCGCAGGCGGUUAUGCAAGACAGAUGUGAAAUCCCCGGGCUCAACCUGGGAACUGCAUUUGUGACUGUAUAGCUAGAGUACGGUAGAGGGGGAUGGAAUUCCGCGUGUAGCAGUGAAAUGCGUAGAUAUGCGGAGGAACACCGAUGGCGAAGGCAAUCCCCUGGACCUGUACUGACGCUCAUGCACGAAAGCGUGGGGAGCGAAACAGGAUUAGAUACCCCUGUAGUCCCUGAGCGGGCUGGCAAGGCGCAU